GCCUGGCUGGCUCAGUCAGAAGAGCAUGUGACUCUUGAUCUCAAGGUCAUGAGUGUGAGUCCCACGUUGGGUA
rnacentral:tRNA from 1 species